AUUGAACGCUGGCGGCAUGCCUUACACAUGCAAGUCGAACGGCAGCACGGGAGCAAUCCUGGUGGCGAGUGGCGAACGGGUGAGUAAUAUAUCGGAACGUGCCCAGUCGUGGGGGAUAACGUAGCGAAAGCUACGCUAAUACCGCAUACGAUCUAUGGAUGAAAGCGGGGGAUCGCAAGACCUCGCGCGAUUGGAGCGGCCGAUAUCAGAUUAGGUAGUUGGUGAGGUAAAGGCUCACCAAGCCGACGAUCUGUAGCUGGUCUGAGAGGACGACCAGCCACACUGGGACUGAGACACGGCCCAGACUCCUACGGGAGGCAGCAGUGAGGAAUAUUGGACAAUGGGCGAAAGCCUGAUCCAGCCAUGCCGCGUGUGUGAAGAAGGUCUUCGGAUUGUAAAGCACUUUAAGUUGGGAGGAAGGGCAGUAAGUUAAUACCUUGCUGUUUUGACGUUACCAACAGAAUAAGCACCGGCUAACUUCGUG
rnacentral:rRNA from 1 species